GUGUGAGACUGGGAUUUAUUCUCAGUGCAAAACUCUACGGAAUAAUUCUCUUGUAACAUUUGAGACUAUUGUUAUAAUCGUUAAAAUGCAGGAUGCACAUGCCAGGCUUCCGGACUAAAAUGUUAUUCUGUAUGAGCAGAAGUGUAGGAGGCAAUCCAUUGAUUAAACACAUGCUAGACGUUGGCUUCACAGUAUCUGCAUCUAUGCUCAGAGACUUUGGGAUCUACUGGAUCUUUGAGUAGGAGGAACUUGAGGAAAUGUGAGUUACAUGUAAAUAUGAUUCCUGUAACUGGACCAUAACAUCCCAUUGCUCAUUAGAUCUAAACUUUGGAUUUUAAAGGACGAGUUAAGGAGAGGAGGGUUGGGAGGAGGUUCAGCAGGACGUCCUCUUUUAAUCGUCUGUCUUCUGCUUCUUAGUCUCAACAUCAUCCUGAAAACGGGGUCACACAGGAUUAGACAUACACUGCACAUGCGUCAGGUUGGGUGAAAACAUAUUUUCAAAAAAAAAAAAAAAAACCUCACUUCAUCAUCAUCAUCAUCCUCAGCUGCCCUCUUCCCUGUUCCGCCCUCAGCCUCGUCUUCCUCUUCAUCUUCGUCACCUGCAUCGUUGUGACAGGUUUAUAAGAUGUCAUUGAACACUUUCUUGCAAAGACACUAUGCAGUUGAGGUAGUAAAUGCAAGUAGUACUAUAGGCUAUGCAAUUUCUCACCCUCUCCAUCAUCUUCUUCAUCCUCUUCCUCACCAACAUCUUCCUCUUCUUCUUCUACUUCAUUUUCCUGAUCUCCAUUUUCCUCAUUAUCCUGACAAAACAGUGCCGUUAUUAAUUUGCAACUCAGUAUCAGGGCGGCUGAUGGCGGUGCCUGAACUGACGUGAAAUUGUUUUAAAAAGAAAUUCUGUGGGCAAAAUAGAGAAAUGAAAGAAAACUUACCGCGCUCCCAUUGGCUGGAGCGUCCUUUCCAUUUUCGGCCUCCUCCUCAACCACCUUUUUUUCUUUGAGGUCCUAGAAGGUGACAUAGGAUACAAUAUCCGUUUUAAUGCUGGGCCUUUAAUGCAGUAUUCACGUUAUGGCUUGCUUUUUUAUGUCACCCAAAAAAAAAAAAAAAUCCCGCUAAACUUCCACUCUCGAAGCCUAUUGGCUGCUCAACCUUUCAAUCUCCGCCCACUUGACGCUACCUCACUGAAGUGUUGUAAUCUGAUACGUCGCUGGUUUUAGCGCCAAUGAGCUGUAGUCCAAAGAAAAUGAUCUACAUCAUAGGUUGGGGUGAAGACACGCCCGCGCAAAAACUACAACUCCCAGAAUGCUUUGCGGAGAUUAUUUUCGUAUAGCCAAUAGGAAAGAACAACCAGAAAGAGAGGUUUAGAUUAACCACAC
ensembl:lncRNA